rnacentral:rRNA from 1 species
CGCGUAGGCGGUCUCUUAAGUCAGAUGUGAAAGCCCGGGGCUUAACCCCGGAAGUGCAUUUGAAACGGAGGGACUUGAGUAUGGGAGAGGGAAGUGGAAUUCCUGGUGUAGCGGUGAAAUGCGUAGAUAUCAGGAGGAACACCGGUGGCGAUGGCGACUUCCUGGACCAAUACUGACGCUGAGGCGCGAAGGCGUGGGGAGCAAACA